CCGAGAGGCAGCUCUAAUGGUGUCUGGGGAAUGAACUUCGCAAAUGGAGAGCGAUGGAAUCGCCGGGCUCCCGGAGUGCCCGGUACCCCCGCGGCUUUUCCAGGGACGGACAACGCGGAGCUUCCCUCGCCCCUGGGACAGGAUCUGCAUGGAUCCGCAAAGAACGGGAAUUCAGGCCCAGGGUGGGUGUUCAUCAUCAUCUCUGCAAGCCUCGUAGGCUCGGAGAGCCCCUGGGAACGCAGGUUCUUUACCGGGAUCCUUUCCAAAGGGUCCUGCCCCAGAGAAACCCCGCUCCCAGGGGCUGUCAUGUGUCCCCAGCUCUGGGCGGGAUCCCCGACCUCGCCCGCUUUUCCUGUGGGUCAGUGCUAACUGGCGCCCAUACAUACUGUUCGUCUUAUCCUCCGCCUGUAAGGGUGCCUCGUGUGUUUUCUCGGGGGAUUUUCAGCUCAGCUCCUCCCCGCGCUGAGCAGCGAAGGAGCGGGCAGGGCAGAACGCCUUCAGCCCACGGCCAGGGCUCGGUGCCGGCUGCCUCCCGGGAGAACGGGGACUCCCUGCGCCACUGCCAGUGUCUGGGUGGCACUUAUGUUAACUGAGCAAGGCUGGGAGCGCGGAGCGCUUAUCGCAUCAGCUCUUAUCGCGGAAUAAGCAACCAAAAUGUUUCUUGCUGAAGGACAUCUCCGCCUGCCCGCAGAGAAUCCAGGAGCGGCCAGCAGGCAGGCACCAUGUCCUUACAACCCCUAACACGUGAGAAAAUCCCGGCUUCCAUAAACCCCACACAGCGGAACUCCGGCCGAAACGAAGGGCGCUUGAGGACGACACCUCGGGCAACAGGAGAAACAGCGAGGGAAGAGCCGCUGCCAGCGGGGUCAGCCCGCGGGGGAUGAGCGAGAGCCCGGACCCGCUCGGGACACGGCUGCGCCUCUCGGCGGCGAUGCCGAUCCCGGAGCUGCCGCCGCCGCCCGGUCGGAACGGAAGGCUUCGGAACGGGAGCUUCCGGCGGGGCGGGGCGGACGAGGGCGGCGGAGGGAGGCGGAGGGAAGCGGGGUCCGUCCUCCGGGAAGCUCCGUGCGCGCCCGGGAGGGACGCACUGCCUGGGGAGUGGCUUGGCAGUGGCUGCUAGUGUUUUAUUAUUAUUAGAUUUUAUUUUAAUUUUUUGGGUAUAUUUUAUUAACGCGCUUUCCGACUGGUGCCGCUCUUCUCUUCCUGCGGAUUGAGGCGUGGAAACCCGGCCGAGCCGGGAGCUGGGCCUCUGCAGGGGGAAUGAAGGAGCUGACAAGGCGCUGGGUGCCCGGGAGAGCGGGACAGCUCAGGGCCGACCGCGGGUCCGGUCACCGGCAUCGCCUCCCGAAGAAGGUCGGGACUUCAGCUGUGCCAGGUGAUGAAGCGAGGACUAAACGCCGCGGCGUGGGUGCUCCAGCCGCUGAGCCACCGCGGCAUCUCCUUCCUCGUCCCUCACCGGCAUUGUCCAGGGAGAAAUGCCUCGAUGGAAGACCGAUGGGACCCUAUGAGCAGUCCUUGUCUCGGUGCUUAGGGUACUCUUGAAUGGUAGAAGAGCUUUCGGCCUCAGGAGGCUUUGAAACCGGACCCGGCUUUUCUGUGCGGUGCUCUAAGCGCUAAACUGCGCCAAAGAGAUCCUCGCUGUGGAUCACCACUCCUCACGUCUCGCUGCUUAGUCAGAAGUGCUGGGAAUGCUCUGAGGCUGACCAAAGCUGAAAUAGCUAAACCAAGCCUUCCACCAAGUCGUGUGUGCUUUCUGCAGGAUCAUUUCAGCUUUUUCUUAUGACCUUUAUGGGUUCCUCUUAUAGGUGUAGGUGGUAUAAAAGGAACUUAGUUGUGCAUCUGUGGUAGCAAUGCAAUGCUACAAUGACUAAGGAGUCGCCAAUGCCAUCCCCUACCCCACUGCUACUCAGGUAGUAGCUGGAUUUCAUCAGUGUGAGAAUUCCGCAUGGACUGGAUCUGAAUAAGCAAGAAACAACUCUUCCUGUAGGUGAUCCUGGAGUCUUUGGCUCUGUCUUCGUGUUUAGAAACGUUUUUAUUUCUAGCUAAGCUCAGAUAUUUGGCGUUGUGGAACCAUUUAGUGAAGCUGCUACUUGGUGGGUGUGAAAAUUAUACAUACAGGUGUUCAGACCAAAAUAAAAUGAACACCGUGUCCUGUGUUCUCGA